rnacentral:rRNA from 1 species
CCCUUAGAUGUUCUGGGCCGCACGCGCGCUACACUGAUGCAUUCAACGAGUCCAACCUUGACCGAGAGGUCCGGGUAAUCUUUGAAACUGCAUCGUGAUGGGGCUAGAUUAUUGCAAUUAUUAAUCUUCAACGAGGAAUGCCUAGUAAGCGUGAUUCAUCAAAUCGCGUUGAUUACGUCCCUGCCCUUUGUACACACCGCCCGUCGCUCCUACCGAUUUAGUGUGUUGGUGAGGAGUUUGGAUUGGCCUCGGAAGGUGGUUCGCCACCGUCCGUAGCUGAGAAGUUCUCCAAACCGCCCCACUUAGAGGAAGGAGAAGUCGUAACA